AUCUCACCCUCUUCUUGGCUACGGUCAUGUGUGUGAUCUGUUCUUGUCAGAUUAAUAUUUGAUAGGCUCUCCCAUCAGGGGGUGUCUGAUGUACGUUAAAGAGAUUUUUGAGAACAGUGGCAAGACUGGUGGGGUUCACUCCACUGGGCUGAAGCAUCACCCCAGUAUUAAAGAUGUUUUGAGAGUAGUUCUAAAAAU